rnacentral:piRNA from 1 species
UUUUCUCGUCUCAAUUACUUG